rnacentral:lncRNA from 1 species
GAUAACCUUCCCGGAUGCCUUCUUCAGGUAACUUUCGGACUGUUUAAUCUCUCCCGCAUUGGACAGGCGAAUAAGCUCUGCCCUACUGUCCUCUAUCUCCGUAUUUUCUGCGUUUGGCUGUUCCUGUUCCAUUCCCUUUUAUUAUACUAUAGGAACUUUUACUUCAUGAUUGAACGGGUGUAUUAGUUCCACUUCAAGAUGGGCAUACUUAUUCUCCUUCAACUUCUCCUUGAUAGAUCUCAUUUCCGCA